AAAUUGAAGAGUUUGAUCAUGGCUCAGAUUGAACGCUGGCGGCAGGCCUAACACAUGCAAGUCGAGCGGAAACGAGUUAUCUGAACCUUCGGGGAACGAUAACGGCGUCGAGCGGCGGACGGGUGAGUAAUGCCUAGGAAAUUGCCCUGAUGUGGGGGAUAACCAUUGGAAACGAUGGCUAAUACCGCAUGAUGCCUACGGGCCAAAGAGGGGGACCUUCGGGCCUCUCGCGUCAGGAUAUGCCUAGGUGGGAUUAGCU
rnacentral:rRNA from 1 species